rnacentral:tRNA from 1 species
GCCUGGGUGGCUCAGUUGGUUGAGCAUCUGGCUUCAGCUCGGAUCAUGGUCUCACAGCUUGUGGGUUCCAGCCCCAUGUUGGGCU